AUUCUCUCUGCCUGCCAGCCCUGCCUAUCCUUUCUCCUGCCUUGCUAUUGGCUGUUCAGUUCUUUAUUAGGCCAUCAGGUAUUUUAGACAGGCACAGUAACACAGCUUCACAUAGUUAAACAUAUACAACAUAAAAGUCACAUACCUUAAAACAAUAUUCUACAACAUAGUAUAAAUAUCAAAGUAAGUUGAUUUAAGGUACCCAACUUUUUAUUGAUUAAAACCCCCUCCCCCACCCUGUGUGUGUUCUUGUACGUUGGUAUAUAUCAGAAUUUUUGUUUUAGAUCAAGCAUAAAUAGUAUAAUAGCAUACACCUGUAAUUCUAGCACUUGGGGGGUGGAGGAGGACCAGGAAUGUGAGGUCAUCUUCAGCUACACAGCAUUUGAGUCCAGUCUGGGCUCCGUGAAACCCUGCUUCAGAAAACAAACAAACAAAAAACUGACCGGUUUUUGUAAACUGCUGUAUAAAUAGGGUCAAGGGCUACAUAAUGGGAGGAAUUCACUGAGUUUGUUGCUGUAUUAUGGAUGUGGAUCUUCAAAAAGUAUUUGUCCUGCCUCUCAAAUUCAAGCUAUUACAAUAGCAGUCUUCAGAGACCCUGAUGACUGUAGUGUCAUAAAUAAUUGCAGAGGGCUGGCCGUCCAGGCUGCGUCCACCCGCAAACACAGGUCUCUCGCCGCUCGCUCUUCACCUCUUCACGCACGCCGCCAGUUCGCCAUGGAUGCGGAUAUCUCUGCACUCGUUGACAACGGCUUCGCAGGCGUUGAUGCUCCCCCAGGCUGUCUUCCCCUCCCUCCCUCGUGGGCCACCCUAGGCACCAUGGCGUGAUGGUGAGCAUGGGCCAGAAGGACUCCUACGUGGGUAAUGAGACCCAGAGCAAGAGUGGCAAUUCUGACCCUGCAUUACCCUAUUGAACACAGCAUUGUCGCCAACUGGGACGAUGUGGAGAAGAUCUGGCACUACAUCUUCUACAACCAGCUGCAUGUGGCCCCUGAGGAGUACCCUGUGCUGUUUAUCGAGGCUCCCUUAAACCCCAAGGUCAACCGUGAAAAGAUGAUCCAGAUCAUGUUUGAGACCUUCAACACCCCAGCCAUGUACGUAGCCAUUCAGGCUGUGAUGUCCCUGUAUGCCUCUGUUGGAACCACUGGCAUUGUGAUGGACUCCGGAGAUGGGGUCACCCACACUGUGCCCAUCUAUGAGGGCUACGCUCUCCCUCGUGCCAGCCUGCGUCUGGACCUGGCUGGCCCGGACCUGACAGACUACCUCAUGAAGAUCCUAAGUGUGCGUUCCUACAGCUUCACCACCACAGCCAAGAGGGAAAUCAUACGUGACAUCAAAGAGAAGCUGUACUAUGUUGCCCUAUACUUCGAGCAAGAGAUGGCCACUGCUGCAUCCUUUUCCUCCUUGGAGAAGAGCUACGAGCUGCCCGAUGGCCAGGGCAUCACUAUUGGCAAUGAGCGGUUCCCCUGCCCUGAGGCUCCUUUCCAGCCUUCCUUCCUAGGUAUGGAAUCUUGUGGUAUCCAAGAAACUACAUUCAAUUCCGUCAUGAAGUGUGACAUCGACAUCCGCAAAGACCUCUAUGUCAACACAGUGCUGUCUGGUGGUACCACCAUGUAUCCAGGCAUUGCAGAUCGAAUGCAGAAGGAGAUCACUGCUCUGGCUCCCAGCACCGUGAAGAUCAAGAUCAUUGCUCCUCUUGAGCGCCAAGUACUCUGUGUGGAUCGGUGGCUCCACCUUGGCCUCACUUCCCACCUUCCAGCGGAUGUGGGUCAGCAAGCAGGAAUACUAUGAGUCUGGCCCUUCCGUCAUGCACUGCAAAUGCUUCUAGGCGGACUGUUACUAAGCGCUGCGUUUUACACCCUUUCUUUGACAAAACCUAACUUGCGCAGAAAAAAAAAAUGAGACAACAUUGGCAUGGCUUUCUUUUUUUUUUUUUUUUUUUUUUUUAAUUUUUAAAAAAAAUAA